CCUACGGGUGGCAGCAGUGGGGAAUAUUGCACAAUGGGGGGAACUCUGAUGCAGCGACGCCGCGUGAGUGAAGAAGGAUUUCGGUAUGUAAAGCUCUAUCAGCAGGGAAGAAAAUGACGGUACCUGACUAAGAAGCACCGGCUAACUACGUGCCAGCAGCCUCGGUAAUCCGUCGGGGGCAAGCGUUAUCCGGAUUUCCUGGGUGUAAAGGGGGCGUAGACGGUUAUGUAAGUCAGAAGUGAAAGACCAAGGCUCAACCAUGGGACUGCUUUGAAAACUGUAGAACUGGAGUGCAGUUGAGGUAAGCGGAAUGCCUAGUGUAGCGGUGAAAUGCGUAGAUAUUAGGAGGAACUCCAGUGGCGAAGGCAGCUUACUAAACUGUAACUGACGUUGAGGCUCGAAGGCGUGGGGAGCAAACAGGAUUAGAUACCCCUGUAGUC
rnacentral:rRNA from 1 species